UAUAACUAGAUAUACUUGACAAUUAUUUCUUAAAUGUACUUUCCGUUUUUGUUGCAGUCGCGCUGAAUGCAUUGAAACGUAAAAUCUGUUACGAAAAACAUUCAUCCCUGACCGUAUAUUAUACGGUCGGUGAUGUGGAGCAACCGAGUGUGGUAAAUGCGGUACUACCAAAUAGUAAUUGGUUCAUAAAGACAGUAUAUUUUAACGAACACCAGACCACCUGUUUGAUCGACUCGGGUUCAUCAAGUGCUGGUACAGGCCGGUCUGGCCGAUCGCGCAGGAUUCACAGACGAUAUAUUGUGUAUGAAAGCAAUGGACGAAUUUGAGGAUACGGAAAAGUGGUUGAAAAUGAAGAAUUUCUAUUCCUAACUUCUGAAGAUUUGGUACAAAAUCAACUUAAUUUUUCAAAUUGUCUUAGAAUCAGAGCGUUUGUGAAGUCAUAUAACUGUGUGGAAUUGUUAUCGAAUUCUGAAGCAUUUAUUAAACAAAACUUUUUAGAAGUGGUUGAAAAUGAUGAAUUCCUAUCUCUAACUUUUGAAGAUUUGGUGAAAUUUGUUUCUUGUAUUUUUUAAUACAGUAACACCACACACUGCUGUAAAGAAAACUAACCAUAGAAGAGAAUUAAG